UGACUGCUUCAUAAAGUGGAACAAGUUUGUGUUUUAAUGAUGUACAAGGAGGGGCUCGGCAAGGACGGUGGCUGGGCGCGGGGCUGGCUGGUGUGGUUCUCAACUUCACGGCGGCAGCAGCUAACAACACUUGAACCAAUGAUCACUGGAUUGCAAGAAUCAUUGCCAAAGUCCAUUGGAUUGCUUCCUUUUUAUGGAGGUGUGGCAGAUGCUGAACAGAGAGAAGUAGAUACCUGGCACUUCAUGUAAACAGCCCCUUGGCUGGGUUUACUUCCCAGUGCUGAUGGGCAAGUAUUACAUUCUCAAGAUGGUGGAGAUAGUCCAAUUCUCAGUCUCUUUAAAUUAGUCACUACUGCAAUAUUAUCUAAGCCAGGGUGCCCAAAUCCAACCUCUUUCAGUACCCUAUCAAAACAAGCAGAAGCUGCAGAUGUGACAAGCGAAAUAGAAAAUGAUACUUAAUUUUGAAGGCUUUGUGUUGGGCAGCAGUAGAAUAUUUUGUGCUGAAAGUAGUAUCUUUUCAAUAUGUUGAAUAUUUAAGACUACUUGAAUACUUAAAGAACAUUUUGUUGUUGAUGACAGUGUUGAAUGUUUUAAACUAAUUUGUGGAUUGUUAAUACAAUGUUGAAUGUUUUUACUUUUUGUUA